CCAGCCCUUACCAUUUGGCCUGA
rnacentral:miRNA from 1 species